AGGGUCCUUGAUAAGAAUAAUUUGGUUGUAAUGCGUAUUCCAUUCAAUUCAAUGAAUCUAAGGAAAUCUGAGAAUUAAUUGGUGCAAUCUAGUUAAUUUGGGGCAUUGUCAUUCAUGGUUUGUUUGAAAGAGUAAUUGGAGAUUGAGUUGUAUGCAUAUGUUCAUGUGUGGAUAAGGAAUCCUCUAACUAGCUUCUCACCAUUCUAUUUAAUCACAAUCUGUUUUGCUUUACAUUUGUUUUUAAAGUUUGAGUUU
rnacentral:lncRNA from 1 species